rnacentral:lncRNA from 1 species
UAGAAUUCUAGUUUUAUUAAUUAAAAGAAAAGAGAGCAAAAAAUAAGAAGAACAAAUUUGGAUUGGGCCAAUUUUCGAAAUUAAAAUUAGGCCCAAAACACUUCUACCCAAUCCAAAACCAUACCAAACCCACACCCCCAUGACCCAUAAACCGACCCGGUCUAUUCCCACAAACCCAAAUAAACCAAACCCUAGACUUAACUCUUCAGCCGAUUUUUCUCAUUUUUUGAGAAACAACAUAAGACUCCAUCUUCUUCUUCUUCUACCCUAACACAAAACCCUAACCCUAAACCACCUGCCGCCCCAUCGCCACUGCCCCCCUGCUGCAUUCUUCUCCAACCAAACGACCACCCAUCGCCACCUCCAAGACCUGCCGGAAAAACCAAACCAGGCGACCUUCAUAAUCCCUUCAACUCCACAAUAGUACACCCAAAACACCCCAUGAAUCACCUCUGAACCCCAGUCAAAAGGCAACAAAACCAUCCAUGAAAUAACUCCAGUUCAGUUGCUAAAAUAGAUCAAAGAAGCAGUGAAAUCAUAGCUGCUUCAUGCGACAAAAAUGCAGCAGCCGCUGCUCGUCUUCUUCCUUGAAAAACUGACUGCCAACCUCCGUUGCAACUAGUUGUAAAACCAGCUCUAAGAACUUGAAAACAACAGCGGCCUGCAGCUCGUCGACCAACUUCGUUGUUUCCCUUCGCCUUCUCCACGACGCCAGCAACGCCAGCUGCUGCCCUCCGUUACACCUUUCGUCCAGUCGUGAGCCACCAGUCAUGCCGCACCAGCCCCUCCUGCUCGUUUCUCUUCACCCAUCGCUGCUUCUGCCUCUUCCGAUUCACAACAGUUUGCUGGAAAUCAGUGAACUCGCAUCCAGUUUGUUGUAAAUAUCAUUUGAAUCUCGGAUUUUUUAUGUCCUUUCGCUUCAAUAGAGAUGAGUUUAAAUUCAGUCAGCGUCGGAAUUUGUUGAGUGUUCGUCGCCGAUCGAUUUCCUGUCUUGUUGUGGGACUUGUUUGAAUUAAGAUUGAUUUUAAUUUUGAAUAGCUGUAAAUAAUUAAUGGUUAUUUAUAUAAUUAUGCUGAAUAUUAGUUGUCGAAU